UUCUCAUUGUAAUUAGGUGAAUAUGGAAUAAUCCUGGCAGUAAAAAUGAGAUUUAGACAAAAGUUAUCAGGAAGAUAAUUUGGUUCACAACAUUUUGGAGAAGUACUUAAUACUCUUGAAGAGGAAAAUAAGAGCAUAACAGAGUUGAAUUGCAAAAUGCCACGUUGCUAUGCCUUGACAGUCACUCAGAAGAGUUAUCACUUGGCACACAUUCCAGCUUGCUACAAGGUUCAGCUUUCCUUUCAUGAAGAGUAAAACUUUAUCUCAAUAUGAAUGAUACGUAUCCCCUAUUGUACUGGAGGCAUGCUUUUGGCAUUCUUGGUUGGCUGUGAAAGACACCUUCAGCUCACUUCCAAGCUACUUGCUUUCAAUGGCUUUGAGAAGAAUUGCUGGAGGAUGAAGGAAGCACUGACUUUUUGGAUACCACCUGUGGACAUUGCCUAUGCCUUCUUACUGCUUUAAGAGUAAAAAUCA